rnacentral:pre_miRNA from 8 species
GUCCCCCUCACCCCUGUGCCACGGCCGGCUGGGGUUCCUGGGGAUGGGAUUUGCUUCCUGUCACAAAUCACAUUGCCAGGGAUUUCCAACCGACCCUGAGCUCUGCCACCGAGGAUGC